ACCUACGGGAGGCAGCAGUGAGGAAUAUUGGUCAAUGGGCGGAAGCCUGAACCAGCCAAGUCGCGUGAGGGACUCCGGCCCUCCGGGUCGUCCCCCUCUUUUGCCGGGGCGCACGGGCGGGGACGUGUCCCGGCCCGGAGAGUACCCGGAGAAAAAGCAUCGGCUAACUCCGUGCCAGCAGCCGCGGUAAUACGGAGGAUGCGAGCGUUAUCCGGAUUUAUUGGGUUUAAAGGGUGCGUAGGCGGGCUUUUAAGUCAGCGGUAAUAAUUCGGGGCUCAACCCCGUCCGGCCGUUGAAACUGGGGG
rnacentral:rRNA from 1 species